GGCUUCGCAACAGCUGCCAGAAUGGAGU
rnacentral:piRNA from 1 species